UAGAAUCACCCUGAAUCAUACAGCACUGGCAAUGAAAAACAAGAGAGCCAUAUGAAUUAUCCCCCAUUACCCAGCGAACCCCUUUAAUCCCCAGUGAAAUUAAAGAAUCCUAAGUAAAUGUGCUUUUAUCUUGUUGCCACAGAGAAAUUAAAAAUCAGUAGAAAGAAGAGAAAGAGAGAGAGAGAAAGAAAAAGGAAAAAAGAGAAUCACUUGAACCCAGGAGGCAGAGGUUGCAGUGAGUUGAGAUUGCACCACUGCACUCCAGCCUGGGUGACACAGCGAGACUUCAUUUCCAAAAAAAAAAAAAAAAAAAAAAGCGCUAGUUUCAGCUGGGCCCAGUGGCUCACACCUGUAAUCCCAACACUUUAGGAGGCCGAAGUGGGCAAAUCACUUGAGGUCAGG
rnacentral:lncRNA from 1 species